rnacentral:rRNA from 1 species
AGUGAACGCUGGCGGUAGGCCUAACACAUGCAAGUCGAACGGCAGCACAGUAAGAGCUUGCUCUUACGGGCGGCGAGUGGCGGACGGGUGCGGAAUACAUCGGAAUCUACUUUUUCGUGGGGGCUAACGUCGGGAAACUUACGCUAAUAACGCAUACGACCUACGGGUGAAAGCAGGGGAUCUUCGGACCUUGCGCGAUUGAAUGAGCCGAUGUCGGAUUAGCUAGUUGGCGGGGUAAAGGCCCACCAAGGCGACGAUCCGUAGCUGGUCUGAGAGGAGGAUCAGCCACACUGGAACUGAGACACGGUCCAGACUCCUACGGAAGGCAGCAGUGGGGAAUAUUGGACAAUGGGCGCAAGCCUGAUCCAGCCAUACCGCGUGGGUGAAGAAGGCCUUCGGGUUGUAAAGCCCUUUUGUUGGGAAAGAAAAGCAGCAGUUUAAUACCCCGCUGUUCUGACGGUACCCAAAGAAUAAGCACCGGCUAACUUCGUG